UUCAACUGCCAAAAGACAGAAAGUCAGUUAGAUGGUCUUUUAGAGUGCCUUCACCCUCUAUGAUUUUAUACAUUUUCAUUGAAAAUCUUAUAUGGUUGCUAGGCUCAGAUAAUGUGUUUUGCAUGUUAAUUUGAAGACCAGGGCACCAAGUAGGUGACUUUAAUCAUAUUCUUUCCAUUACUGGCCCGUUAGCCUCUGCCAAUCCAACUGGCACAAUUAGAGGCACUACCUGGGCUACAUCCAGGCCCCUCCUCUUAGUUACUUAGGCUUUUACAUUUACAGAGUAACAUUUCCUAGAAAACUAAGGGAAAAGAAGAUGCACAAAAAUAAUUUUUCCAAUACCUUUUUGAAGCUUUUGAAGGAUUCAAAUAGAAGAAUUUGGAGGAUUAAAAAAUAUGAGGGUUUUUUCCCCUCACAAGAGUUACUCAGAAAAAAUCUAUGCAAUAUCCAAAUGCCAGUCCUUGAAAUAUUUGAAGUUUUAAGACAAAGUAGCAAAGCUAGCAUCAUUGAUAUCCCUGAGAUUUAGAAGAUUGGAAUGGUUGCUGCUGAAAUAAUCAAGAGGUUGCGGUUUAUACUUGAUAAGAUGGAUAAAUGAGGAAUACUGAAGGACAUCAAGAUAUUUAUCAGGCUUGAACUAUCUACUUCUUGAACGAAGUAUUAAGCAACAGGAAUGAAAAGCUUUGGUUACUGGAGGAAGAUUGGUUUUAUUUUGAAAAAAAAGAAGGAAGAUGAAUUGAAGAUGGCAGAAAGGAAUCCUGAUAUCUGUCAAGAACUUUGGAGGGGAAAAAAUGCUCCAUAUAGAAUUCAUAAUGGAAGAGAAGAAAGCAAGGAAUUGUCUAAUAUUUAUUUUUUAUUUGGAGAAAGAUUUCAGAACUUUGGAUACAUAGGUUUCCAUGGCCUAAAAUUCUGCAGUAGAAUGUUAACUCCGGAGAGGUGGCAAAGAAAGAAAGAACAUAUGAAAUCACAAAGAAGAAUUAUUUUAUCUAAAAGGACUAGGGAGCAUUGAACAAAUAGUUGGAUGUGAACACGUAGGGAGCUCUUUGACAUAAAUAAAAAAAAAAAGCUGGCUAUAGAAAAUAGAAAGGCAGGGACUAGAAAAUGAAAACAAGCAUGUGAUAGUCCUAUAAGAAUUGUGUCAGGAAUGCUAAUGCCCAGAGGCUGAUAAGAAAAGCAACAUAUUACCAAAAAGACUUAGUUUUGAUUAGUAUUAUCAGUGAAUAGAGGAGGAUCAAAGAUAAAAAUAACUAACAUUUUUGAAGUUCCUUAAGAUUGCAAAAUUGUUUGCAAAUAUCUCAUUUAUUUUCACAACAAUCUUAUGGGAGGUAGAUUUUUUUAUUUCCAUCUUACAGAUGAAACUGAGACAGACAAAAGAUAAGUGGCUUUCCUAAGGUUUCACAGCUACUAAAUAUCUGAGGCUAAAUUUGAACUCACAUAAUUCUGACUCCACAUUUACAAUCUUAUUUUCUGUACCACCCACUGCUUGGAUGUAUGGGAAAAUAUUAAUACUUGUAGAAGAGAAGUCGGCUUCUUAAUAUCUGUUUUUAUUUUCUUUGUCAAAAAGUAUAAUCUUUAGGCAAGAAAAACAGAAUAAAAUAAUAAGUAGGGAGUUGAUACCCAAGUUAAGGAAAGAAUAAGUAAGGGAACAACCAGUUGUUCUUGAUUAUUUAAAGUACAGAGACACAUAGACAAAAUGCAUCCUAGGGUACUGAAAAAAAUGCCAUGCUAUGAUAACUUCAACACUGUCAAUGAAUUCCGAAAAGUCAUAGAAGUCUGAAGAGUUAGCUCAGAAUUAAUAGAGAAGAAUAAAUAUACUCCUCAUUUUCAAAAAAGAGAAGAUAAAAGAGUUAGCACACUAGGGACCAGGAACUUCACUUUGACUUCGUAUUCUGGAACACAUUAUUAAAGGGAUAGUUAGUGAAAAUCUAGAAAAAGGAAGUGGUAUAAAAUACUGGAAUAAAAAAUGGCUCCACAAAGAAUGAGGCAUGGCAGAAUUAUCUCAUUAAUUUAUCAAUUACAAGAUUAAAAAAAAAACUUGUCCUUCAAAAUAAGAAAAAAAAAAUUAAACCCAGGGGGGAAAAAAACACCAAAUCUAAUAUAAAAUAGUUUCUUAGUAGGUCAUACAGAUUCUAAGACAGAUUUGAUAGUGUAAUGAUAAUCAGAAGAUCUGUCAGCUAUUAGAAGCUGGGGAUAAUGCUUUCCCAUAGACAACUGCUUGGCUGAAAAUGAUCUGGACAUUUUAGUGACUAGUGAAAUUAAUAAGAGUCAACAGUUUGACUUGGUAGCUGAGAAAGGUAAUAUGUUGUUAAGGUAUAUUAAAAAAUAGUGUUUGGUAUUAAGGCAAUAGUACUAUUAUUCUCUGACCUGGCCCAACAUCUGGAAUAAUGUAUACAUUUUUGGUGCCAUAUUUUCAAAAGGGCAUAUAGGAACUGGAGACUCUACUCAAUGGUGAUUGACUACAGACAUAACAUAUCAUAUAAUAUAAAUCAUAACACAAGAUAACAUAUUGAAGGAAUUUGAACAUUCUUGUGCCUGCAGAAGAGAAUGGUGGUAAGGAAUCAUGAGAAUUAUCUUCAAAUAUAUGGAAGAAGGGUUGGGUUUUUCUGUUUCCAUUUAGAGAGCAGAACUAGGAGCAAAGCGUGGACAUCUGACAAAUUUUUGCUUGGAGUAAUGUAAACUUCCUAAGUGAACUGUCUGAAGGGAAAAUGGACUGUCUUGAUCAAUGGUGGGUUUCUCCCCACUUGAAAUCAUCAAGCAAAAGAUGAAUGACAUUUUCCCAGGUCUAAUUUGGUGGAGAGGUGGCUGGUGGCAGUGGUGCUGGGCAUCUUGGCAUCUUGGCGUGGCUACAGCUAUUGUCCGGGUUUGGAGUAUUGGAAACUUCAUCACAGUGAGAUGGGAACCAAAUGAAGAAAUAUAUACUGGGUAUUUUCAUCAUGUCCAAUUCUUCAUGAUCUCAUUUGGAGUUUUCUUGGUAAAGAAACUGGAAUGGUUUACCAUUUCCUUCAUCACCUCACUUUACAGAAGCAUCAAUUGAGGUCAACAAGGUUGAGUGACUUUGCCAGAGUCAUACAAUCAAUACAUAUCUGAGGCCCAGUUUGAAUUCAGGUCUCCUGACUAGUACUCUAUUCACUAUGCACUUAACUGCCCCAGAAUGUAUGUAUUAUAAUAUAUAUAUAUGUAUAUAUAUAUAUAUUUGUAUUUAUAGACACAUAUAUAAAUUCAUAAAUACAAAUGAGUCACAUAG